rnacentral:rRNA from 1 species
CAGUAGCCACGGGAAUACGCAGGGGGCUAGCGUUGCUCGGAAUUACUGGGCGUAAAGGGAGCGUAGGCGGGUCGUUUAGUCAGAGGUGAAAUCCCGGGGCUCAACCUCGGAACUGCCUUUGAUACUGGCGACCUUGAGUAUGGGAGAGGUAAGCGGAACUCCGAGUGUAGAGGUGAAAUUCGUAGAUAUUCGGAAGAACACCAGUGGCGAAGGCGGCUUACUGGCCCAUUACUGACGCUGAGGCUCGAAAGCGUGGGGAGCAAACAGGAUUAGAGACCCCAGUAGUCCCUGUCUCUUAUAC